UAAUGCGAUCAAACCACCACUAACGCACCGAAUCCCAUCAGAACUUUGAAGUUAAGCAUGCUUGGACAAGAGUAGUACUAGGAUGGGUAACCCCCUUAGAAGUCCUCGUGUUGCAUCCC
rnacentral:rRNA from 1 species